ensembl:misc_RNA Metazoa_SRP Metazoan signal recognition particle RNA
GCCGGGCGUGGUGGCACAUGCCUGUAAUCCCAGCUACUCAGGAGGCUGAAGCAGAAGAAUCGCUUGAACCCGGGAGGUGCAGGUUGCAGUGAGCUGAGAUCAUGCCACUGCACUCUAGCCUGGGUAACAGAGCGAGACUUUGUCUCAA